CCUACGGGAGGCAGCAGUGGGGAAUAUUGGACAAUGGGCGAAAGCCUGAUCCAGCCAUGCCGCGUGAGUGAUGAAGGCCUUAGGGUUGUAAAGCUCUUUUAUCCGGGAAGAUAAUGACUGUACCGGAAGAAUAAGCCCCGGCUAACUUCGUGCCAGCAGCCGCGGUAAUACGAAGGGGGCUAGCGUUGCUCGGAAUCACUGGGCGUAAAGGGCGCGUAGGCGGAUGAUUAAGUCGGAGGUGAAAGCCCAGGGCUCAACCCUGGAAUUGCCUUCGAUACUGAUCGUCUCGAGAAUGGAAGAGGUAAGUGGAAUACCGAGUGUAGAGGUGAAAUUCGUAGAUAUUCGGUGGAACACCAGUGGCGAAGGCGACUUACUGGUCCAUUUCUGACGCUGAGGCGCGAAAGCGUGGGGAGUCAAACAGGAUUAGAUACCCUGGUAGUCCACGCCGUAAACGAUGAAUGCCAGCCGUUGGGGAGCUUGCUCUUCAGUGGCGCNGCUACGACUUAACGUACACUUCCGUCCGUCGGGAGGUACGGUCGCGAGAUAAACUACAAGAAGUAGACGCGNGAGAGNGCGAGCGACACGAGGAGAG
rnacentral:rRNA from 1 species